rnacentral:rRNA from 1 species
UACGAAUGGGGCUAGCGUUGUUCGGAAUUACUGGGCGUAAAGCGCACGUAGGCGGAUAUUUAAGUCAGGGGUGAAAUCCUGGAGCUCAACUCCAGAACUGCCUUUGAUACUGAAGAUCUUGAGUUCGGGAGAGGUGAGUGGAACUGCGAGUGUAGAGGUGAAAUUCGUAGAUAUUCGCAAGAACACCAGUGGCGAAGGCGGCUCACUGGCCCGAUACUGACGCUGAGGCACGAAAGCGUGGGGAGCAAACAGG